rnacentral:misc_RNA from 1 species
GGAAUUGUUCUUAUUAUUCAAUUCGUGAUCGAAGUUAGAGGUACACUAUCCAACCUUAAAAAUUAGUUUUGUGUUUGUAAGUCCCCCAAAAUAGUUAAUGUUCUGAAGUUCUAAAUAUGUUUAAUUGUAUGUCAAUCUGGAGACUCUGACUUUUGUGUGUAUGUGCACUCUUUGAUCUUUGCUGCAUCGUCUUGAAACAACUAUUAUCACAGUAUGGACCCAGACCAAGUUGUUGCUGGAUUGGUUGGAAUGGGAUUUUCGUUAUCUGAUAUUGCUAAUGCUCUAGAAGUAGUG